UUCCGAGUAAGAACCAUUAGAAGGUUGCAAAAAUCAUCCUUAAGUAUUUAAAAAAUACUAAAGAUCAGUGGCUUGUUUAUAAAAAAUCUGACAUGAAACUCAUAUGAUAUACUGAUUACAGUUUCAGUCAGAUUGUGAUGAUAGCAAGAGCGUAUCGGGAUAUAUUUUUACCCUAAAUAGUAGAGCUGUCUGCUGAAAAAAUUUCAAGCCGCACACC
rnacentral:lncRNA from 1 species